UUUAACCACCCACUACAAUCGAGAUUUUCCAGGGAAGGCUUUCACUCAUGAUUAUUAGUUAUUCAGAGAAAUAUAAAAUAUUGCAAAAUUUCGCCGAUAAACAUAGCAAGAAAAAGAAAUGUGAGUUCUUUGGUGAUCACUACUUUAAAUUGGGUUACAAUGAAUCUUCCUUGUCAACGGUUUUCAAUAUUCGCUAUAUAUAUAUAUCCCAGAUAAAUCGUCUUAGAACAGGGACACAAUGAUUAUUUGAGAAUUCAGUGAAUGUGCGAAACCAGCCAUGCAGACAGAAUCUUAUUCAAUAUGCAUAACAUUCAGUCAGUUGGAAUGUUGCAGAUACAAAAUCAAUUUCAAUGUUGUUUUCAAAUUAUUAAUUUCACACAUCGUCGGA
rnacentral:lncRNA from 1 species